UACGUAGGGGGCAAGCGUUGGUCCGGAAUCAUUGGGCGUAAAGCGCGUGUAGGCGGCCAGAAAAGUCCGCUGUGAAAACUCGAGGCUCAACUUCGAGCUGUCGGUGGAAACUUUCUGGCUAGAGUCCGGAAGAGGAGAAUGGAAUUCCUGGUGUAGCGGUGAAAUGCGCAGAUAUCAGGAAGAACACCCGUGGCGAAGGCGGUUCUCUGGGACGGUACUGACGCUGAGACGCGAAAGCGUGGGGAGCGAACAGG
rnacentral:rRNA from 1 species